rnacentral:misc_RNA from 1 species
GAGAUUUUCAGAUUUUGAAACAACGUCGGAACACUGAGAAAAGAGUGUGGAGAAUUCGGAGUGAUGUGAGAGAAUGUAUUGCCGGACUUUGGAUUUAAUAUCGACGGAACGAAGUUGUAGACGGUCGAUGAGAAGACGGAGAUCUGGAGCAGAUAACGGUGAGUUUACAUCGUCGAUGUCCGGCGACGAGAGUAGAUCUCUAACGUCAAUUGAAUUGAACAGUACGUCCAUGUCUCGCCGGAAAACUCCCCUUUGCCUCUCGCGGCCCGUUUUCAAUUACUCACGUAUAGUAAAAUAGAUAGAAACCAUUCCUAAAUACCAAAAGGUCUUCUAAUUAAAUUUUGUUUGUAUUUUUCUUAAAAUUCAUAUA